CAGAGUGAGGCUGAGCAGCAGCAGCUCAUUGUGAAGCUGCGGGUUCAGUCACAGCUGAAUCCAAAAGCUCGAACGGCGAAAUACAACAAACAAAAAACGAUCUUCUCGAGUCGAUCGAGAAGCGUUCGGCGCCGCGUGAGAGGCAAAUAUCACAGCGUAAAAUCACUCUGCUGCAAGGCCUGGACACAAACACCCCGCUGGCCUCCUCCUUCUUCCAGUUAGAUGACCAGGUCUGAGGUGUCACGUCAGCACUUCAGAGGAGAUAAAACUCCUCCUCAGCCCUCGGAACAGCUUCUGUCAAACAUUAUUCACUUCAUAACUGUGAAGAUCCACACACGGACACAGUUUUAAAAGCUGAAUUUGGCCUCAAAUGAUCCCAUACAGCAGCGGUUGUCAAUCACUGAUAUGCAGGUAUGUGUCUGUUUCUGUUAGACAACUGAAAAACUGAUAAAAGAGAUACAGCAGAAGGUCGUAAAAUGCCAAAAGGCUAAAGGCCAACAUUAAUUCACGGGUGUCAGUGAGUCAUCAGAUCACUAUAUUAUAAUCCUGCUUUCAUCUCACAAAGAAACUCGCAGCACUCUUAUGUAAGUCAGCAUCUUAACAUGCUAUGAAUCCUUAACAGGAUGACUGUGAGCAACAAGUCGUGCUUCUCGAUAUCUGGAUUUUUUUCCAGUAACAUGAGCUCGAUUUCUUUCAGGUUCGUGUGGAGGAGGAGGCUUGAAGGAUGCAGAAAAAACUCCACAGGCACCUCAGAAGCAAUGCAGCGAUUUCUACAGAGAGAAAUCAUCGAGAAGCCUAACAGCAAAGUGGCAGCAGUUUGGAGGCGUUUCAGCUGUGCUACACCAACAGCUUCUCUUUGUAUGUCUGCAAUUUUUUUGUGCUUAAACACAAACUGUGAUUAAGUAAGUCAACACGACUGAAGAGCUCCAAUGACUGCAACCAUUUUAGUCUUUGUUUGGUAGGAUAGCGGAGACAAGACGGGGAAAGCUGGAAGAAAGACAUUCAGUAAAUGGUAUCCAAGCAGACUUGGACCCAGGUAUGGGUCGCCCAUUUAACCCAGUGAGCUGAACUGGUGCCCUGUUCUUGGAAAACGAUUGUUGUACUUGUAGUAAAAUAACCUUGCCCUAAACGUCAGAGAAUGAUUCCCAGUCUCUUCCACAGAGUGAGGAAUUCGGCUUAUUGAUCAAACACUGGUAUUGGAUCGGGUAUUUCCAUAGAGUUAAUUACAAUGUGACUCAGUGUCAAAUUAUAGUGUUUGUUUGUUUGUUUGUUUGUUUGUUUUACUUAGGAGGAGCUGGACAAAGUUGGGAUGGUGGACCCUUAAAAAAAAGUUUCUGUUAACUGACAUAAAACUCAGAUGUAAAAAUAUAGUAUUCUUAUAAAUUUAAAAAAAAUAAAGAAGAAAAAACUGUUUGGGCUGAUGCCUUUCAACAAAACAAGCAUGAGGAGGUUUUGGUGCUUCUGUUUAUUGAGGCUGUGAUGUCUACAUGACUGGUAUUUGACAACUGGCGUGUCUGACAAACACUAUGCAAAUUAUAUAAAAACUAAAACUAUUACAAACUGAAGUGAAACUAAACAUUUGUUAGAACAGCAAGCACUCAAAUGAAACAAAGAAACCCAUCCACAAAAACUAAAUAGAGGACAAAAGGUUUAAAGUAAAUAAAAAUUACAAAUGAAUAAAAGUAAGGAAAUCUUAUCCAACCUUCAGCAGGUUUACUGGAGCAAAAACAACACUUUGCUUCUAAAAGCAACAAACCGAUGUGUUAGACACCAGCUCACGUGGCCAAAUCUCAAUCGAAUUGUCAUUUUUCAUCAUGUAGACACAGAUUUGGCCGCUAACGACUCCUCCACCUCCCAUCAUUCACCUCUGUGGCAAAGAGCAGCGGGGCGGGGCUGAGUGACUGACAGGAUGAUGAGUGGAUGCGGUCAAUGUGUGAAGCUUUAA